GGUCCAUGAGCACCCGGAGCCGCAGAGGCAGGACAAAAGUUGUGAGUAUCCAAAGCUCGGGCAGCUGGCAGCAGUGCAGCCGCCGGGGCGACGACCACCAUGCGGAGACCGGCGCGACCUUUUGAGACGCAGCUGGACCCGCCCAGUUCGGCGCCCGGGUCAUUCCAGGGUCUGGGGCAGCGGCGGGGGCCGCGGGCGGAUGGCGUGAACCCAACCGCUGCAGGAUGCCCUCCAAACACAGGGCCCCGGGGCUGUGCGCUGCUGAGCCGAGCCAUAGAAGACCAAGAAGGCCACUGACAUCAUAGACAGAUUGCUCUUACUGUGAACUCUCUUCCUGUGACAUGUCACAUCCUCAGAGCAGAGGUCGCCCUCCUGGAAGAAACCAAUGUUUUGUGAGGCAUUCAAAUUCACAAUCCAGAGGCACUUAACAAGGCAAUUCCCACCAGUGACCAUUGACCCUUACAGAUGAAGCCUCAAAAGAGUGUGUUUGGUUUUUUCAAGGAGCAUGGAAAAGCCAGAACUCAAAUUCUUUCUAUGAAGGAAGAAGAGAUGAGGGAGAGAGAGAGUGAAGAUGCCCAUGCAGCCUCAGGUCCUAAGAGCAUCAUCCAACAAGAUGAACAGGAUCCGCCCCUCCAACGCCUUCCUGGGACAGUCCAGCAGGACAGCAGGUGAGGGUGGGAAGUGGUACAUUCACAGUCACUCCAUAUGCUCGGUGCCAGUUCACUGUGUUUAAUUAAACAUGAUUUCUGUAUGUAGCACAUGGAUAUAUACACACCCAAACAGAGAUGUCUGUAGGGGAAACAACAGCUUUUACUUAAUACCUCGCAGGCGCAUUGCCAGCACAAGCUGCUGAAACCUUGGGUAUUUCCUUCCUGGCUGUUUCUGUGAAGGUGGGAGGCAGGUGAGGAAGCAGUUACCUCUGCCUGGGGCUGCUUAAGGCCCAGUGGAGGCAUCUGUCCAUUGUCACGUAGGCUGCUGUCUCUGUAUCUCUGUGCUGGGCAGGCUGAAGAGUAGAUACACUGGAGGAAGUUUUUGACUCCUCUUGAAGAGAAUGGUUUUUACACUCAUGAAAAUCUAGCUUUAAGUCCCUGGGAGUUCCCGUUGUGGCUUGGUAUUCCCAUUGUGGUUCAGCGGGUUAAGAACCCAACUAGUAUCCACGAGGAUGCAAGUUUGAUACCUGGCCUUGCUUAGUGGGUUAAAGAUCCCGCAUUGGCAUGAGCUGCCAUGUAGGUCAAAGAUGUGGCUUGUAUGGAUCUUGCAUUGCCGUGGCUGGCAACUGCAGCUCCAGUUCAACCCCGAACAUGGGAACUUCCAUAUGCUGUGGGUGUGGGUGUGGCUGUAAAAAAAUAUCCCUGCUUUACCCCUUAUAGGCUCCAAGCUCUGGGCAGUUCUCUCUAUCUUCCUGAGCCCCAGUGUGCCCACCUGGUUAUGAGGGUGACACUGCCUGGGUCAGAGGAUGCACCAGAGCCCCAGAUGCUUGGUAAAUGAGAUGAAUGGGAGAAGGAAACUUGCCGUGGCCAGGGACACACUUAACACAUAAUGCACCUGCUUUCCUGUGGAGGAUGCAGAUUUCAGGCUCUCGGGCUCGGGUGACCUGCAGGUGUUCUAUUUGGCCCACUCAGCAUAGUUACAUCUUGUGUGUUCAUUUUCAAGAUUGGAGUUUAGGAAUUUUACUUGAGGCUGAGAUUUCUGACUUAGGCUAUUUGAAGAUCUGGCAGCUCUGAGCUCAUUGACUCCCUGUCAACAAACAGCCGGAGCUGAGAAGACCCUGCUUCCCUUAGGCUGGGCAUGUGCCUCUGUCGGUCGAAAUGACACUGAUGGCAGCAACAAGCACUUAUGGAAUAUUUACUGUGGACAACAGCAACCUCACAGGGUGGGGACCAAUAAUAUCUCCAUUUUACAGAUGAGGGCAUUGACAGGGAGAUACAGAGAUAGAUGAUAGAUAGGUGGAUAGAUAGAUAGAUGAUAGAUAAUAGAUGACAGAUGCAAAUGAUAGACAUGAUAGAUGGUAGAUAGAUACCUAGAUAGAUGCAAAUGAUAGGCAGAUGAUAGAUAAUAGAUGAUACAUAGAUAAAUAGACAGAUGAUAGAUAACAGGUAGAUGAUAGAUAGACAGUUGAUAGAUGACAGAUAAUAGAUAGAUGACAGAUGCAAAUGAUAGACAGGAUAGAUAAUAGAUAGACAGAUGAUAGAUGAUACAUAGAUGGUUGGUAGAGAGAUAAAUAGAUAGAUAGAUAGAUAGAUAGAUAGAUAGAUAGAUAGAUAGAUAGAUAGAUAGAUAGAUAGAAAUAGAUUAUGUGGAAUUGGCUCACAUGAUUAUGGAGGCUGAGUAGUGCCAUGAUCUGCUGUCGGCAAGCUGGACACCCAGGAGAGCUGGUGGUGUAAUUCAAGUCCAGAGUGUGAGAACCAGGGGAGUCUGAUGGUGUAAAUUCCAGUCCAAGGGCAGGAGAAGACAGUUUACCCAGCACCAUCAGGCAGGCAGGAAGGGGAUAGCUCCUUUCUUCCUCUGCCUUCUGUUCUAUUCAGACCCUCCUGAGACCUGCCCCCCCUCAGCCACCAUUUCAAAUGCUAAUCUCGUCUCACAGACCCACCCAGGACUGACUUUUAAUAUGGGCACCAUCCAGUUUGUCUGGAACCAAUUUGAAGCUUUUCUGAUGCAACUUUUAAUAUUAAAGAUGCCAUCACAGUCCCACUGCUUCUCCAAAUCCAUGCAACAAAGUAUGGCCCGAUUUUGGAAACAUCUGUGCUGCAAAUCUUUUUAAAGCCUGCUGUCCCCAUAUCACAUGAUGUCACCACGGUCUGUGCAUGUAGGGCUCACCUGGCUUUCUAGCAGAUGGAGCCACCAGGUUCUAGUUUGAAGUCAAUGGCUGGACAUGUGGCAUGUGCCCUUUGAAGGAUGUCUUUCUCUCCAAAUUGCCCUGAACACUCAGACAUCUCAAUAAGCAAUGCCUGACUGACUCCCUUGGAGGUGUGUUCCUUUUGACCAUCACUCAGGAACUGAAAGGACCAACUAUUUACAUGUGGCCUGGGGCUUUCUAAUUGUGUCGUUUGUUGAAAGUCUCCUGGAGAAUUUUGAUUCCGGGUUUUGGCAACGACAAGGAUUAACAACAAGGGCAGAACUUAAUGGGAGACUGUUGAUCUCAGGUAAAGGCAGGAUAGGUGGCCGGUCACUAAAGCCACUUUGCAUUACUACCAGGACUUCUAAUUUCCCAAGGGCCUUAGUGAUACAUUGUUUUUAUUUUUGAUUCUCCCUUAUCAAGAGGGUGGAGAAGAGGUGAUGAUCCUUUUACUGGAACGCACAGCAACAUUUAAUAGAGCUGAUAACCAGAUCCUUCUUUAAACAUUUCAUUCACUUC
rnacentral:lncRNA from 1 species